rnacentral:lncRNA from 1 species
CGGCGGACCCUUCCGGAGGUGGCCGCAGAGACUAGCCAACUUGCGCGCCCGCCGACCCGGACCACAGCUCCCAGCACACCUCACGGGCCCACGCCCGCCAGGACUACAAUUCCCGGCGUCCUCCGGAAGCUCAAGUGUACCCAGGCGCGGUGCCUGCUGGGAAUUGUAGUUGACGUUGGUCAGCACGGAGGCCACAGGAUCCCAGCCCGGCCUUUGUGGGACUGAGGUGGCGCUGAGUGGGAGAGCAGCAGGCGAUGCGCGAAAGGCGGGACUUGGAGGUUCUGGAUGUUCCUGUGGAUAACCUCAAGGAGCAGGGGACCUGGGACAUGACUGCCCCCAGCAUUCCUUCUGGCGGCAGACAGAGUUUGUCAGUUCGCCAACAUCCUGCUUUCAUGAGAACAGUUUGCUGUUUGCUCACAGAGCCUCCAGUGGUAUACUGAGUUGGUCACGACCCUCAUUCCUUCGGCCUCCAACAUCUCCCCUUUUGUUUUUGCAUUAAUUGAAUAAAGGUAAUUUCAGGCUGUGCAGCUUUCAAUUGCCGGUUGGUGGUUCACCCGAUCCUAUAGACUAUGAGCAAAAAAACAGAGACAUAACAACAUUAUUCUUGUAAUUAUUAUAAAAGAGACAUUGAAGUUAUGUUUAAGGUAGGUCCAAGGGUUGAGGCUUUUUUUUUUUUUUUUUUUUUUUUUGAGAUGGAGUCUCGCUCUGUCGCCCAGGCUGGAGUGCAGUGGCGCCAUCUUGGCUCACUGCAAGCUCCGCCUCCCGGGUUCACAUCAUUCUCCCACCUCAGCCUCCUGAUUAGCUGGGACUACAGGUGCCCGCCACCACACCCGGCUAGGGUUGAGGCUUUCUAAGCCCUGCUGGAAUUCUGUUUAAGCUUCUAAAAAGGGCUGUUAUUUUUGAGUUUGCUUAUUCAAGUUAAGAAUUUUACUCUGUAAGUUACUGAUAUCAAAAGUAAUAUUGGAUGUAAAAGCUCCCUGCAAAUGAGCUUUUACAAGGUUCCAUGGAUAUUCACUUUGGUUCUAUUCCAAAUUGGUCACACAAAUAUGAAUAUGAUUGAAAUGACAGUGCAAUUGCUGCUGCAAUUGCAAACUUUGUACCUGCUUUCCCAGCCACAGAACAGUAGUCUUUAACAUUGCUACCUUUGUUUGUAAUUCGGUAUUAAUUUUAUUUUGAAGCAUCCAUGCCUGGUUGGCUGUACAUGUCCAAUUUUCUACAUAUUGGGCUGUUUGAAUAGAACUAUGUAGUGCUACUGAGGACACUACAACCGAGGUUUUUAGUGUGACUAAGGAGAUUACAGUAAAAAUUACUAUGUUUAAGGCUUUACAUGCACGAUGAGUGAGCUGGGUAAGAAGGAGUUUUACAAAAUGUAAAGCAGGGGUGGCAGCCCAAGGUUUGCACAAAUUGACAGGGAUCCAUAAUCCAGGGAUACGACCCAGAAUUAUUAGAGUGGAUAUGUUGUGUGUUUGUAUUGUGCUAUGAUUGAGGCAGUGAUACAGUUGACAAGAGUCACAAGUCAACUGGGUGAUGUUUACGUGGAGUUGGUCCUUCUUAGAUGCUAGAAAAACAUACGGAUUAAAAACACAAACUGGCCGGGCACGGUGGCUCACGCCUGUAAUCCCAGCACUUUGGGAAGCCAAGGCGGGUGGAUCACGAGGUCAGGAAUUCAAGAGCAGCCUGGCCAAGAUGGUGAAAUCCCGUUUCUAUUAAAAAUACAAAAAACAAAAAAUAGCCUGGCACGGUGGCGGGUGCCUGUAAUCCCAGCUACUCGGGAGGCUGAGGCAGACAAUUGCUUGAACCCGGGAGGCAGAGGUUGCAGUGACCCGAGAUUGCGCCACUGCACUCCAGCCUGGGCGACAGAGUGAGACUCCAUCUCAAACAGUAACAACAACAACAAAAAACCCACAAACCGUAAAUUGAGUGGUAAUAUUUUUUACAAAGGUGAUAUUAAAACUGUGUUGAGUAAUAUUACUAUUGUUGGAUAAUGUUCUGACCCAGAUGCUGUUAUUCAUAAAUGGGAGUGUUGCCUUCCAUAUCGAUUCCUGAAUUGGGCCUCUGUUUCCUAGAUGACGUCACUGAGGUAAGGGCGGGUUAAAGCCUGUUCUGUACCAAGCAAGUUGUGCAGCCAACUGGGGGACUGAAUCCCAGUGUGACGUGACGAAGAGGUGUUGAAGGUCCACCACCAGUGCCAGUGAAGUUUGUGCCAAGAGGUCUGAUUUUCAUCUCUCCCCUCUAAAUGGCCACGGGGACCCCAGUCAAUGUUUCCCAUUAACAUAGACUGUUGUCUGGCCAAGGGGCCAAGACACUGGGUCCAAGGAGGGGGGUGAGAAAUAUCAAAGGGAGCCCAUUCCAUAUAAUCAAUACAAUUUGAGUGAUGGGGCCGGGAGUGAUUGGUGAACACGCCAGUAACAUUAAUGAAGCUGAGGCCUAAUAAAUACAUAAUUUUUCCAUGGUGACUUAACCAUGCCUGAGAUUGGACUGCAAGACAGCUGCAGUUGAGUGACGUAUCCGUGGUGAUACAUAAAGGGAGUCCUUCCAAUGGGCCGGUGUAAUUGAUGCUAUUGCUCUGUGUCAGACGGAGUUAGGGGUCCUGGUGCCCACGCUCCCUGAUCAUAAUAUAUCUCAGGAGGAGUGUCGCUCCAGAGUACCAGUCGUACUACCAGUGGGUUAGGAACAUAUGCCCAAUAUGUUUUUGCCUCUACACAGGGGAAACAUACCGCACAGGACACUACAGCUAGCAUGGCCAAGAACAUGGAGUCAGGGGUUUUUGCCUGACCCUGGCGCUCCAGUAGUUUCUCAGCUUCCUGUGUCGUUUUCUUGAUCUGUCCCCAUGUUAUGGGGUUGGAUGUCAUUGUGACUCCGGUCGGCCCUUGUUCUGUCUUUGCAUUCAGAUUCCGCUGGCUCAUGGCUUGUACUGGAGGUAACAGGCCCACGGUUGAAUACCACGGAUCCCUCCGGUCUCCCGUUCCAUGGUCACACACACCUGGAGGGCACCCACACGGUUUGUCCAUCUCCUGUAAAAACACAAGCAUACCCUCGUCCCCACGUCAGCAAAUCCACCGGACCUUUCCAUUGUCCUUCUUCUGGGGAUUUCCAUAACACUUUUGGAUAAACUUGCCUCUUUUCCUCUAGCAGUUGCCAGUGUCGUUCUGUUGGGGUCUUGCCAUCCGUACCAGGAGUCAAACAAUUUAAAGUAAACAAGGCUAAAUGUAAUUUUGUUUGAAGUGGUAAUUGGUCCCCUAUUCUCCCUUUUUGUUUUUUCAGCAUGCGUUGUAGCGUUUGAUGUACCCGCUCAAUAAUGCCUGGUCCUCAGGGAUUGUAUGGAAUUCCUGUUUUAUGAUUGAUUGCCCACAAUUGUAAAAAAUUGGGAAAGCAUGACUAACAUAAGCGAGUCUACUGUCAGUUUUAAAUUGUUUAGGGACCCCCAUAUGGGCAAAUGACGACAGACAGUAUCGUCAGACAUGACCAGCUGUUUCUCCAGUUUGGCAUGUGGCAUGUAAUAUAUGGGAGUAAGUGUCUAUAUUACAUGAACAUAGCGGAGUUUGCCAAAGGCUGCUAUAUAUAUGUAACAUCCAUCUGCCAGAUUUCAUUUGGAGCCAAGCCUCGUGGGUUGCAUCCUUCCACAGGUGCAACACCAGGGACAUGCUGGCAAGUGGGGUAGGCUUGCACAAUAACUCAAGCCUGGCUGCGAGGCAGAUGAAACAUACGAGUAAGGGCAAGUUGUUCUGAUGCAGUAAAGCAUGGGAAGCUUGGGCUUGUUGAAAUAUAGAACUGAUGAAUUUAUCUGCUCUAUCAUUACCUAGAGAUAGUGGCCCCAGGAAGUUGU